UACGUAGGGGGCAAGCGUUGUCCGGAAUUAUUGGGCGUAAAGAGCGCGUAGGCGGUCCGAUAAGUCGGCUGUGAAAGUCAUGGGCUCAACCCAUGAAAGCCGGCCGAUACUGUCGGACUAGAGUCCGGAAGAGGCGAGUGGAAUUCCCGGUGUAGUGGUGAAAUGCGUAGAUAUCGGGAGGAACACCAGUGGCGAAGGCGGCUUUCUGGCCUGUUCUUGACGCUGAGGCGCGAAAGCUAGGGGAGCGAACGGGA
rnacentral:rRNA from 1 species